rnacentral:rRNA from 1 species
CGGGGGGGGGGCAAGCGUUGUUCGGGAAUUACUGGGGCGUAAAGGGCGCGUAGGCGGGCAGGAAAGUCUCUCGUGAAAUCCCACGGGCUCAACCGUGGGAAUUGCGGGAGAUACUACUUGUCUUGAGUUCGGGAGAGGAGUGUGGAAUUCCCAGUGUAGCGGUGAAAUGCGUAGAUAUUGGGAGGAACACCGGUGGCGAAGGCGGCACUCUGGACCGAUACUGACGCUGAGGCGCGAAAGCUAGGGGAGCAAACGGGAUUAGAUACCCCGGUAGUCCUAGCUGUAAACGCUGAGCACUUGGUGUAGCGGGUAUCGACCCCUGCUGUGCCGAAGCUAACGCAUUAAGUGCUCCGCCUGGGGAGUACGGUCGCAAAGGCUGA